GAUGAACGCUGGCGGCGUGCUUAACACAUGCAAGUCGAACGGAAAGGCCCAAGCUUGCUUGGGUACUCGAGUGGCGAACGGGUGAGUAACACGUGGGUGAUCUGCCCUGCACUUCGGGAUAAGCCUGGGAAACUGGGUCUAAUACCGGAUAGGACCACAUUUUGGAUGGUGUGGUGGAAAGUUUUUCGGUGUGGGAUGAGCUCGCGGCCUAUCAGCUUGUUGGUGGGGUAAUGGCCUACCAAGGCGUCGACGGGUAGCCGGCCUGAGAGGGUGUACGGCCACAUUGGGACUGAGAUACGGCCCAGACGCCUACGGGAGGCAGCAGUGGGGAAGAUUGCACAAUGGGCGCAAGCCUGAUGCAGCGACGCCGCGUGGGGGAUGACGGCCUUCGGGUUGGAAACUCCUUUCGCUAGGGACGAAGCGUUAUGUGACGGUACCUGGAGAAGAAGCACCGGCUAACUACGUG
rnacentral:rRNA from 1 species